CUACGGGGUGCUGCAGUGGGGAAUAUUGCACAAUGGGCGCAAGCCUGAUGCAGCAACGCCGCGUGAGGGAUGAAGGCCUUCGGGUUGUAAACCUCUUUUAGCAGGGAAGAAGCGAAAGUGACGGUACCUGCAGAAAAAGCACCGGCUAACUACGUGCCAGCAGCCGCGGUAAUACGUAGGGUGCAAGCGUUGUCCGGAAUUAUUGGGCGUAAAGAGCUCGUAGGCGGUUUGUCACGUCUGCUGUGAAAAUCCAAGGCUCAACCUUGGACUUGCAGUGGGUACGGGCAGGCUAGAGUGCGGUAGGGGAGAUGGGAAUUCCUGGUGUAGCGGUGGAAUGCGCAGAUAUCAGGAGGAACACCAAUGGCGAAGGCACAUCUCUGGGCCGUAACUGACGCUGAGGAGCGAAAGCGCGGGGAGCGAACAGGAUUAGAUACCCGCGUAGUC
rnacentral:rRNA from 1 species